CAGUCGCCGCGGUAAUACGUAGGGUGCAAGCGUUAAUCGGAAUUACUGGACGUAAAGCGUGCGCAGGCGGUUAUAUAAGUCAGAUGUGAAAUCCCCGGGCUCAACCUGGGAACUGCAUUUGAGACUGUAUGGCUAGAGUGUGUCAGAGGGGGGUGGAAUUCCACGUGUAGCAGUGAAAUGCGUAGAGAUGUGGAGGAACACCGAUGGCGAAGGCAGUCCCCUGGGCCAAUACUGACGCUCAUGCACGAAAGCGUGGGGAGCAAACAGGAUUAGAUACCCGUGUAGUCCCUGUCUCUUAUAC
rnacentral:rRNA from 1 species